AGCUUUGCACAGUGGCAGUAUCAUAGCCAAUGAGGUUUAACCAAGGAGCGAUUGUUGCUAAUUGAAAACUUUUACCAAUACCUCGCCAUGAUGCAUUGACAAUUUUUGGCAGCCUCUAUGGAGA
ensembl:snRNA U4 U4 spliceosomal RNA